GAUGAACGCUGGCGGCGUGCCUAACACAUGCAAGUCGAGCGAAGCGCUUAGAUUAGAUUUCUUCGGAAUGACGAUUUUUGUGACUGAGCGGCGGACGGGUGAGUAACGCGUGGGUAACCUGCCUCAUACAGGGGGAUAACAGUUAGAAAUGACUGCUAAUACCGCAUAAGACCCCAGCUUCGCAUGAAGCGGUGGUAAAAACUCCGGUGGUAUGAGAUGGACCCGCGUCUGAUUAGCUAGUAGGUAAGGUAACGGCUUACCAAGGCGACGAUCAGUAGCCGACCUGAGAGGGUGACCGGACACAUUGGGACUGAGAAACGGCACAGACUCUUGCGGGAGGCAGGAGUGGGGAAUAGUGCAAAAUGGGGGAAACCAUGAUGCAGCGACGACGCGUGAAGGAUGAAGUAUUUCGGUAUGUAAACUUCUAUCAGCAGGGAAGAAAGUGACGGUACCUGACUAAGAAGCCCCGGCUAACUACGUG
rnacentral:rRNA from 1 species